AGAGCGAACGCUGGCGGCAGGCCUAACACAUGCAAGUCGAGCGCCGUAGCAAUACGGAGCGGCAGACGGGAGAGUAACACGUGGGAACGUACCCUUCAGUUCGGAACAACCCAGGGAAACUUGGGCUAAUACCGAAUACGUCCGUAAGGAGAAAGAUUUAUCGCUGAAGGAUCGGCCCGCGUCUGAUUAGCUUGUUGGUGAGGUAAUGGCUCACCAAGGCUACGAUCAGUAGCUGGUCUGAGAGGAUGAUCAGCCUCACUGGGACUGAGACACGGCCCAGACUCCUACGGGAGGCAGCAGUGGGGAAUAUUGGACAAUGGGCGCAAGCCUGAUCCAGCCAUGCCGCGUGGGUGAUGAAGGCCCGUAGGGUUGUAAAGCCCUUUCGGCGGGGAAGAUAAUGACGGUACCCGCAGAAGAACGCCCGGCUAACUUCGCGCCAGCAGCCGC
rnacentral:rRNA from 1 species